UGGGGAAUAUUGCACAAUGGGCGAAAGCCUGAUGCAGCAACGCCGCGUGAGCGAUGAAGGCCUUCGGGUCGUAAAGCUCUGUCCUCAAGGAAGAUAAUGACGGUACUUGAGGAGGAAGCCCCGGCUAACUACGUGCCAGCAGCCGCGGUAAUACGUAGGGGGCAAGCGUUAUCCGGAUUUACUGGGUGUAAAGGGAGCGUAGACGGUUUGGCAAGUCAGAUGUGAAAGCCCAGGGCUCAACCCUGGGACUGCAUUUGAAACUGCUAGACUAGAGUGCAGGAGAGGUAAGUGGAAUUCCUAGUGUAGCGGUGAAAUGCGUAGAUAUUAGGAGGAACACCAGUGGCGAAGGCGACUUACUGGACUGUAACUGACGUUGAGGCUCGAAAGCGUGGGGAGCAAACAGG
rnacentral:rRNA from 2 species